rnacentral:rRNA from 1 species
GACGAACGCUGGCGGCGUGCUUAACACAUGCAAGUCGAACGGUGAAGCGCCUUCCUUUUUGGUGGGUGUGGAUGAGUGGCGAACGGGUGAGUAACACGUGAGUAACCUGCCCCCUUCUUCUGGAUAACCGCAUGAAAGUGUUGCUAAUACGGGAUAUUCUGGGUCUGUCGCAUGAUGGGUCUGGGAAAGAUAUUGUUUCGGUGGGGGAUGGGCUCGCGGCCUAUCAGCUUGUUGGUGGGGUGAUGGCCUACCAAGGCGGUGACGGGUAGCCGGCCUGAGAGGGUGGACGGUCACACUGGGACUGAGCGACGGCCCAGACUCCUACGGGAGGCAGCAGUGGGGAAUAUUGCACAAUGGGCGCAAGGCUGAUGCAGCGACGCCGCGUGAGGGAUGGAGGCCUUCGGGUUGUGAACCUCUUUCGCCAGUGAAGCAGGCCUGCCUCGUUUGUGGGUGGGUUGACGGUAGCUGGAUAAGAAGCGCCGGCUAACUACGUG